AUUGAACGCUAGCGGGAUGCUUUACACAUGCAAGUCGAACGAGUGGCGGACGGGUGAGUAAUAUAUCGGAACCUGCCCAGUAGCGGGGGAUAACUACUCGAACGAGUGGCUAAUACCGCAUACUAUUGGCGCGGCCGCUAUUGGAUUAGCUAGUUGGUGGGGUAAAGGCUAACCAAGGCAACGAUCCGUACCUGGUUUGAGAGGACGACCAGCCACACUGGGACUGAGACACGGCCCAGACUCCUACGGGAGGCAGCAGUGGGGAAUGUUGGACAAUGGGGGAAACCCUGAUCCAGCCAUGCCGCGUGUAUGAGAAGGCCUUCGGGUUGUAAAGUACUUUUGGCAGUGAAGCGGUAUCUGCAGAAUAAGCACCGGCUAACUACGUGCCAGCAGCCGCGGUAAUUC
rnacentral:rRNA from 1 species